UGGGGAAUAUUGGACAAUGGGGGCAACCCUGAUCCAGCCAUGCCGCGUGCGUGAAGAAGGCCUUAGGGUUGUAAAGCGCUUUCAGCGGGGAAGAUAAUGACGGUACCCGCAGAAGAAGCCCCGGCUAACUCCGUGCCAGUAGCCGCGGUAAGACGGAGGGGGCUAGCGUUGUUCGGAAUUACUGGGCGUAAAGCGCGCGUAGGCGGUUUGCCAAGUUGAGGGUGAAAUCCCGGGGCUCAACCCCGGAACGGCCUUCAAAACUGGCCGACUUGAGUCCGGAAGAGGAGAGUGGAAUUCCCAGUGUAGAGGUGAAAUUCGUAGAUAUUGGUGGAACACCAGUGGCGAAAGCGGCUCUCUGGUCCGGAUCUGACGCUGAGGCGCGAAAGCGUGGGGAGCGAACAGGAUUAGAUACCCCUGUAGUCC
rnacentral:rRNA from 1 species